rnacentral:sRNA from 1 species
GAAUAAAAUGUUAAAUUCAAUCAAAUGCUCUAAAACACACAAGAUCAGACGACUAUUUCAUACUUCUGUUUAUUUUUGUGCUAUAAUCUAUGCAAAGUGAAUAAUGUUCUUAGUUUGAGAAAAGUUGUACCAAGCUGUAGACACCAUGGGCCAAUAUAUGUGAUUGUGUUUUAUUUUUCUGGACACAACUUGUGUGAACAUGUUUUUUUUUAUGUUGAUUUUAUUUUUUCAUUGUUCUCCUUUUUUCGCAUAUGCUUAUGUAUAUAAUGUUAGCUUUUGGGGAAAAGUGCUGACUUUUACAGACUCAUCUGGCUGUAGUGUAUAUUUUUUAAAGAAUACUUUUAAUUUAUAUUUAAAGCAAUACCAACCUAACCUCAAACCCUCUCCCUCAACCAAAUCUGCUCCUUAUUCCUUCAGAAUUUUUUUUUUUUUAAUACCUGAAUUGAUUCCUUCAGACAUAAAGAAAUUGAUAAAAUGUACUGCAGUUACCCAUUUUGAAUAAGGAUGGUGUUCUGUCUCCCCUCAUUCUGAGCAAUUUUUUCAUAUUACCCAAACACUAUUCAAUAUAUGAAGAUUCAUUCUCACAAUUGAAAUUGUUCAAGCUCUAUGCUCUUUACAUAGGAUGACUUAGGAAAACAUAUAAUGAUCGAUUAUCAUCAAUUCUUUUCUUGUCAAAUAAUGCAGAUUUGGAUGCCAGUGUCAGAAUCAACUGUAAAAGUUAGGGCUUCUCAAAAUACGCCAAACAACACUUUACCAAAUGGUGCAUGCAAAUAUUUCUUAUUUAUGAGAUUUUGUUAACUUAUUAUUCUAUUUUUUUUUAUUGUAUUAUUGUCAUAAUAAAAAAUUUAAAAUUAAAAAAAA